UUUCUUCAAUAAACUAACAUGAAAAACCGGAUGGAGACGGGAAGUCUCAGGGCAAGAGAGGUCUGUCUGUAGGGCUGUAAUUUUAGGCUAUUGGACUGAACACGUGGGCUAAACCUUCUCCAUUUGGGUUGACUGGGUUGUUGACUCCUCUUGGAUCCUUUUCUGGCCUGCUCCCCCAUUGCUUGAACUGGUCACGUGCGGCUCCACUUCAUCAGGUAACAUCCGUAGCCCUUCAAUUGCCAUAAUCCCUAAUUCCCCAAUCUCAUUUUCCUCUCGCCCUUCAAUCCCUAAUUCCCCUUUUUCAUUUCUCCUUCGCAUCUCACUCCCUACUUCACCGUUUUCCUCUUCGUUUCCAUGUUCUUCUCUUCCAACU